AAUCUCUCUCUCUCUCUCUCCAGGCAAGAAAAUGACACGUGCAACUGCAAGAACAUCACAAAGCACACCAUCCCAAAAACUGGAAAUCCCCUCUCCCAAAUUCCCAGAAAAUUUCUUUGUAUUUUUGCUGCCGUUCUUGCCUUCUUUCUUCUCCUUUAUUUUUUCCUUUGCUGCGUCCUCACCUCCUCAGCUUCUGUAUAAAUGUCGUCGGAGCAACGCGAUCCUCUCACCAGCUGAAAUUGGAAAAGAAAAAAAAAACCCCAAUUCGGAUCUUCCCGUUUGCCAAUCAGGAAAUAGAAAGAUGUUGAUGAUGGGAUUGAGCAUCCAGAGCUUACUGGAUUUGGCCGUGGCCGGAAUUUCAAUGAUGGUCGGGUUGGGGAUCUUCGCGUUUAUCGCUUCCAUUCUUUGCUCUGCCGCGUUCCUGCACACCGCCAGCGCCAAGGACGUCUCCUCUUGAUCCCCCCAUUACUUGAAAGGUUUACCGUAGCAUACAGAAGGAAUGACAUGGUUGGCAACGAGUAUUGAUUCAAUUCAAAUGUAGCUCUGAUUAGUGGUUCUGGUUUUGAAGAUUUUGUAAUUUGUAUCCAUAACAAUUGCAGCGAGGUUGUUCAAUAAAAAGUCUCCUCCUCUGUUUGAAAAAAUGCAAAUACUGUACAAGUGAUUUCCGCACAUUUUUUUCUCUCGUUA